AUGAACGCUGGCGGCGUGCCUAAUACAUGCAAGUCGAGCGAACAGACGAGGAGCUUGCUCCUCUGACGUUAGCGGCGGACGGGUGAGUAACACGUGGAUAACCUACCUAUAAGACUGGGAUAACUUCGGGAAACCGGAGCUAAUACCGGAUAAUAUAUUGAACCGCAUGGUUCAAUAGUGAAAGACGGUUUUGCUGUCACUUAUAGAUGGAUCCGCGCCGCAUUAGCUAGUUGGUAAGGUAACGGCUUACCAAGGCAACGAUGCGUAGCCGACCUGAGAGGGUGAUCGGCCACACUGGAACUGAGACACGGUCCAGACUCCUACGGGAGGCAGCAGAAGGGAAUCUUCCGCAAUGGGCGAAAGCCUGACGGAGCAACGCCGCGUGAGUGAUGAAGGUCUUCGGAUCGUAAAACUCUGUUAUUAGGGAAGAACAAAUGUGUAAGUAACUAUGCACGUCUUGACGGUACCUAAUCAGAAAGCCACGGCUAACUACGUG
rnacentral:rRNA from 1 species